rnacentral:rRNA from 1 species
UACUACGGGAGGCAGCAGUGGGGAAUAUUGGACAAUGGGCGCAAGCCUGAUCCAGCCAUGCCGCGUGAGUGAUGAAGGCCCUAGGGUUGUAAAGCUCUUUCACCGAGGAGGAUAAUGACGUUACUCGCAGAAGAAGCCCCGGCUAACUUCGUGCCAGCAGCCGCGGUAAUACGAAGGGGGCUAGCGUUGUUCGGAAUCACUGGGCGUAAAGCGCACGUAGGCGGACUUUUAAGUCAGGGGUGAAAACCCGGGGCUCAACCCCGGAACUGCCUUUGAUACUGGAAGUCUUGAGUCCCAAAGAGGUGAGUGGAACUCCCAGUGUAGAGGUGAAAUUCCUAGAUAUUCCGAAGAACACCACUGGCGAAGGCGGCUCACUGUUUCCGGACAGACUCUAAGGUGCGAAAACCUGGGGAGCAAACAGGAUUAAAUACCCCGGUAUCCCCCCCCGUAAACAAAGGAAGCUACCCCCACGUAGCACCCCAUUUGUGGGCCCAGCUAACCCAUAAAGCUUCCCCCC